UACGGAGGGUGCAAGCGUUGCUCGGAAUCAUUGGGCGUAAAGCGUACGCAGGCUGUUCGCUAAGUCGGGUGUGAAAGCCCGGGGCUCAACCCCGGAACUGCGCCCGAAACUGGCGAGCUUGAGUGCGGGAGAGGGAAGCGGAAUUCCUGGUGUAGAGGUGAAAUUCGUAGAUAUCAGGAGGAACACCGGUGGCGAAAGCGGCUUCCUGGCCCGACACUGACGCUCAUGUACGAAAGCGUGGGGAGCAAACAGG
rnacentral:rRNA from 1 species